GAAAUCUUCUUAGCAGUGGGCUGGCAAAGAAGCAGGAUCCCCACAGGGACCAUGUGGUGAGGUUGCCAAAGUUGGAAGAAACCUGGCUGUGAGGACAGAGUUGCAUCCAUGGAACAGGGAGAUGCCUUCCCUGACGGAGAAUGGUGCAUGAGACUGAUACAUCCUCACCUUGAAUAGAGUGUUCAGUUCUGGUCACUCCAUAUGAAAAAGGAUCUGGUAGAAAUUAAUCCCUUUCAGUGACCUUGUCUAGAUGCUUUGAGGCAAGGAUGAGAAGAGAUUAGGUCUGCAUCAUUCACAGGAGAUGAAUAAAAGUUGAUAUGGCAGAGGUAGAGUAAAGGAUGCCAAAUUAACCUGUGUAAUUCAUUGGGACAUGAUUAUGAAGCAGUGUCUAUUCCACAGUGAAGGCUGAAAUUCGCUCCCAAGUAGAAGCCUGAUUUCCAAUGCUCCUCCUGUGCUCAGCUUGACAUCUCAACCUUGAGAAGGAGCAGAAGGCUGGUUCAGUGGUGAGGGCGCUAGCUUGGGCAAUCACAGCAGAAAUCUGAUGACUUAGAGAUAGCUGAUCCCAACACAUGAUCUCACCCAAAUGCUCCAGAGCUAGAUGAAAAAUCCCAGUGUCAAUAUCUGUGAAGAACAUUACAUGGGUGCUAUCUACAGUAUUCUUACUAACAUUGUGUGCAUCUCUGUAUGUUUGGUGGUUAUGAUGUCGCUAUAUGGGAAACAAAGAAUUAAUUCCUGCUGGAGUUCUCCACGUGAACACAAGAACCAGAUACUGACCAACUCAAUUGUGGAUGUUGAACGGACAAUACCUCAACCUACUCGGGGAAGACUACUGGAGAAAUGCAUAAACCGAUUUGGCAAGUUCAGAGGCCCUGCUCCACAUCUGGGAGGGGUCUCCUGGCAGAAAGUCUUAAACAAAGAGACUCUGAACUGGAUGAAAAUCUGUCUGGGAACUGAAGGGUCAUAGAUGCUGAGUGGAUGAAUCAGAUUGGGAGGGAGAGGCUGCCUGGGUGCAACCUGCUCUGCUGUCCCCCAACUCUGUGAGCCUACUGGAACUGGCCAGGAAGGCCAAGGUUUAGGUAAGAUAAUAGGUGUUUAGCCUUUUCUUCAGUUAACCUUUUCACUCUGCUAGCUAAAUUCCUAUGGACAAAUAAAUCAUACUCUGAUUUGAA